GAUGAAGAACGUAGCGAAAUGCGAUAAGUAAUGUGAAUUGCAGAAUUCAGUGAAUCAUCGAAUCUUUGAACGCACAUUGCGCCCAUUAGUAUUCUAGUGGGCAUGCCUGUUCGAGCGUCAUUAAGUCCACUUAAGCCCUGCUUAGUGUUGGGAGACUGCUCCAGCGGUGCUACCCUGUAGCUACCCUGCAGCUCCUCAAAGACAGCGGCGGAGUUGUGGUAUCAUCUGAGCUUAGUAACUUGUUCUAGCUUUCGAGUACACCACUUCCCCUGCCGUAAAACCCUUAAUUUUUAAUGGUUGACCUCGGAUCAGGUAGGAAUACCCGCUGAACUUAAGCAUAUCAAUAAGCGGAGGA
rnacentral:misc_RNA from 1 species